GCAGCUAUAGCGAUGAUGUCCGCA
rnacentral:siRNA from 1 species